rnacentral:rRNA from 1 species
CACGUGGGCAAUCUGCCCUUCACUCUGGGACAAGCCCUGGAAACGGGGUCUAAUACCGGAUAAUACUCCUGCCUGCAUGGGUGGGGGUUGAAAGCUCCGGCGGUGAAGGAUGAGCCCGCGGCCUAUCAGCUUGUUGGUGGGGUAAUGGCCUACCAAGGCGACGACGGGUAGCCGGCCUGAGAGGGCGACCGGCCACACUGGGACUGAGACACGGCCCAGACUCCUACGGGAGGCAGCAGUGGGGAAUAUUGCACAAUGGGCGAAAGCCUGAUGCAGCGACGCCGCGUGAGGGAUGACGGCCUUCGGGUUGUAAACCUCUUUCAGCAGGGAAGAAGCGCAAGUGACGGUACCUGCAGAAGAAGCGCCGGCUAACUACGUG